UACGUAGGAUGCAAGCGUUGUCCGGAAUUACUGGGCGUAAAGGGCGAGCAGGUGGCACUACAAGUCUGAUGUAAAAUCUCCCGGCUUAACUGGGAGGGGCCAUUGGAAACUGUAGAGCUGGAGUGCAGGAGAGGCUAACGGAAUUCCCGGUGUAGUGGUGAAAUGCGUAGAGAUCGGCAGGAACACCCAGGGGGAAACCAGGCCGACUGGGCAUCUGCUGACGCUGAUGUGCGAGAGCGUGGGGAGCGAACCGGG
rnacentral:rRNA from 1 species